UUAGGGUAGUUUGCAGUCAGUAGAAUUUUCUUUUUCGAUUGUAUAGUGUUUAUAAGCACACAUUCACUAAUGUUACAAAUAUUGAUGAACUCUUGGGUCAUUGGGCAGUUGCUUUUUCUCCUAAAAUUGGACACCAGACCAGCUUCAUUUUGGUAUGACCAAUCCCUUGACAAUUGUGUCAUCCUUCUGGUUUGCCCUUCUGGAAUGGUGUGCCUGCUAUUUUUGUCCUAUUCAUCCUACUUAGUCUCUUUUCUGGAGUUUGGAGAAAUGUAUGUGUUCUAAUGCAUGAGCAGCAAAAGAAAAGCUAGCAGACGGGUCCAUCAGAAAAAAGGCAGGUACA